rnacentral:lncRNA from 1 species
UACAUUUUUUCUAACAAGUAAAUUAGUAAAGUGGUAAUUUCAAAUGUUUUGCAUCGCCCUAGCAAGUUCAUCAUAAUCAAUAUGAACCGAUUGACCUUCUUCUGGCGUGUUAAAUUCGGAUGUGUUUCCAUGCGUUAAUAUAUCUCCAAGUUCUUCGUCUUCUGGGCUAUCAAGAUCUUCCUUUCCUUGAUUUCUUCGUUCCGAUCUAAUCCAAACUCUUAAAUCGAUUGACCUUCUCCUGGCGUGUUAAAUUUGGAUGGGUUUCCAUGGGUUAAUAUAUCUCUAAGUUCCUCGUCUUCUGGGCUAUCAACAUCUUCAUUUCCUUGAUUUCUUCGUUCCGAUCUAAUCCAAUCUCUGAAACAUACUAAAACUUCCAAAGCAUUGCUUCCCAAUGAGUGGCGGGUGUC